GAUAAAGAAAGAUAUUAACUAUUUGAUGCUAAAAACGAAUGCUAACGAACAAUACUCGCGUAAAUACAAUAUUCGCAUCGGUGGAAUCAAAGAAGACCCAGAAGAGGACUGCUAUGAAAAAGUAUCUACAUUUUUUCAAAGCAAGCUUGGGUUAACGAUCGAAAAUUCAGAAUAUGAUCGUAUUCAUCGAGUUGGCAAGCGUGGGAGUAAAGACCGCCAAAUGAUUGUAAAGUUUAAGAGUUACCGAACCAAAGCAGAAGUUAUCAAGCAUCGCCGUAAGCUUAAAGGGGCCGCAGGAUUAUUUAUAAAUGAAGACCUUACUGC